rnacentral:rRNA from 1 species
AGAGUUUGAUCCUGGCUCAGGACGAACGCUGGCGGCGUGCCUAAUACAUGCAAGUCGAGCGGAGUUGAUGAGGUGCUUGCACCUCUGAUACUUAGCGGCGGACGGGUGAGUAACACGUAGGCAACCUGCCUACAGGACCGGGAUAACAUUCGGAAACGAAUGCUAAUACCGGAUACGCGAUUUCCUCGCAUGGGGAGAUC